GUUUAGAGUGAGAUGUUUAGAGUGAGGUGUGAUGUUUAGAGUGAGCUGUUUAGAGUGAGAUGUGAUGUUUAGAGUGAGAUGUUUAGAGUGAGGUGUGAUGUUUGGAGUGAGAUGUUUGGAGUGAGGUGUUUAGAGUGAGGUGUUUAGAGUGAGGUGUGAUGUUUGGAGUGAGAUGUUUAGAGUGAGGUGUUUAGAGUGAGGUGUUUAGAGUGAGGUGUGAUGUUUAGAGUGAGAUGUUUAGAGUGAGGUGUAUGGAGUGAGGUGUGAGAUGUUUAGAGUGAGAUGUUUAGAGUGAGGUGUGAUGUUUAGAGUGAGAUGUUUAGAGUGAGGUGUGAUGUUUGGAGUGAGAUGUUUAGAGUGAGGUGUAGAGUGAG
ensembl:lncRNA